rnacentral:rRNA from 1 species
CCUACGGGAGGCUGCAGUGAGGAAUAUUGGUCAAUGGACGAGAGUCUGAACCAGCCAAGUAGCGUGAAGGAUGACUGCCCUAUGGGUUGUAAACUUCUUUUAUAUAGGAAUAAAACAGGGUAUGCAUACCCUCUUGUAUGUACCAUAUGAAUAAGGAUCGGCUAACUCCGUGCCAGCAGCCGCGGUAAUACGGAGGAUCCGAGCGUUAUCCGGAUUUAUUGGGUUUAAAGGGAGCGUAGGUGGAUUGUUAAGUCAGUUGUGAAAGUUUGCGGCUCAACCGUAAAAUUGCAGUUGAAACUGGCAGUCUUGAGUACAGUAGAGGUGGGCGGAAUUCGUGGUGUAGCGGUGAAAUGCUUAGAUAUCACGAAGAACUCCGAUUGCGAAGGCAGCUUACUGGACUGCAACUGACACUGAUGCUCGAAAGUGUGGGUAUCAAACAGGAUUAGAUACCCGAGUAGUC